AGAGUUGAUUAUGGCUCAGGAUGAACGCUAGCUACAGGCUUAACACAUGCAAGUCGAGGGGCAGCAUGAUCUUAGCUUGCUAAGAUCGAUGGCGACCGGCGCACGGGUGAGUAACGCGUAUCCAACCUUCCCUAUAGUAGGGGAUAGCCCGUAGAAAUGCGGAUUAAUACCCUAUGUUGUAUUUUGAGGACAUCUGACGAAUACCAAAGGUUCACCGCUAUAGGAUGGGGGAUGCGUCUGAUUAGGUAGUCGGCGGGGUAACGGCCCACCGAGCCAACGAUCAGUAGGGGUUCUGAGAGGAAGGUCCCCCACAUUGGAACUGAGACACGGUCCAAACUCCUACGGGAGGCAGCAGUGAGGAAUAUUGGUCAAUGGGCGAGAGCCUGAACCAGCCAAGUAGCGUGCAGGAUGACGGCCCUAUGGGUUGUAAACUGCUUUUAUGCGGGGAUAAAGUGAGGGACGUGUCCCUUAUUGUAGGUACCGCAUGAAUAAGGACCGGCUAAUUCCGUGCCAGCAGCCGC
rnacentral:rRNA from 1 species